rnacentral:lncRNA from 1 species
CCUCUCCUCCUUUCAUCACAAAACGUUCAGUCACACGAGAGCACACGGGCUCCAGGGAGCUCCAUGUAUGGACUCUCACCUGGGGAGAAAUAAAACAGAAUAAAAACAGGCAUUCUUGGUUGCUAUGUUUUUAAGGAACAAUAGUAGUAAUAAUUGCUGAAAGUCAGGUUAGCAGAAAUGGUUAAGAGACUAUGAAACCUGAGUUUUAAUCCCAGUCCUGCAAAAUACUAGCUAUGUGACUAAGUAACUUCUCAGUCUUCAUUUCUUCAUAUGUAGAAUGAAAAUAACAGCAGUAAUGUCACAGGCUGUUGUGAGAAUUUAAAAAAUAAUCCACGGAAGGCACAGUACCUGGUGCGUUGUAAUUUUUCUGUAAAUGUGACCUAUUUUCAGUGUUAUUAGUGUCCUCCAAACUAUAGCCACCUAAGACUUUGAGUUUCUAGCCUUUCUUUUUACUUAAAUUUGUUUUUUAAAACAAAUUUGCUUUCCACAUGCGCAUUCUGAAUAGUUUUACUGAUUUUCACUAUAACAUGCCAUUUUUAACCAUUUCUUUUUAUAAAGUUUGGACUAUUUCCAGCCUCUCACAAUUAUAAAUAACCUUGCAUUUAAGGGGCACAUUAUAGCAUAUGUGAUUUGCUUUCAUCUAGUUAUUUUAUUUCCUACUCAUAGAAAUCCUGUAAGAAGAGAGACUGGUAUCAUUUUACUGAGAAGAAAUUGAAUCAACAAGAUGUGAAGGGUUUUGCUUAUGGUCACAUGAUUAAUGGCAGGGUUGUAGCCUGAAUAUAUGUAUUCUAACUCUAAAUUAAUUUCUCUUUUAUUUUCCCAAAAGAAUGUAACCAAACAACUAAAGAAAUCAUCUAAAAGUCUCCUUCGAUCUUAGAAAACAAUCCAAGUAACUUACACUGAGUGUCAUCGAAUAAUCCGAGUGAAGAUCUGACACACCAUAGAUAUAGAACGUGUUUUCAUUCUCAAAGCCUACUGGCAACAGUGGAGCAAAGAAAUUCUGAGCAAAGUAAUGAAGCAUUUUCCACUUUCCUCCGUACUCUGAAAAUAAUCAAGAGUGUCAGGAGACGGCAAGGUCAAGUAGUCAGAGAGGCACUGUCCAAUGGCCCAGCUGUUUGUGGCUCAUCGGGGUUCUAAGGGAGUGAGCAUGUGAGGGAGAGUCAACAGUGGAGGGCACCCAUGUUUGUGAAGCGCUCUGAGCACUCUGGACAUUAUGUCAUGUCACCCUCACAACAUCUGGGCAGGCACUAACGAACCAGGGCAGGCAUUAACGAACCAUGCUGUUAGGCAAUUUCAUCAUUGUGUGAUCAUAGAGUGUACUUAAACAAACCAAGAUGGUAUAGCCUACUACACACCUAGACUAUAUGGUAUAGCCUGUUGCUCCAGGCUACUAACCUGUACAGCAUAUUGCUGUGCUGAAUACUGUAGGUAAUUCUAAUCAUAGAAAUGGGACAGUGAAAAUACAGUAUUAUAAUCUCAUGGGACCACCAUCAUAUAUGAACUGUGUUGUUGACUGAAAUGUUAUACGGUGCAUGACUGUAUAUAAUAACUUAUAGAUUCUAGGUAGCUAUUGAUUGCUUUAAUAUAUAACCAUUUCGGGUGAUAAGAGAUAACAAAUACCUCCCCUACUGCACGCACUAGAAGCAGUGGAUUUAUUGAGCCAAUCAACAUGGGGCUGUGAGGCCCCCAGAGCAGAAGCAGAUAUAGAAAACUUGUCACAGCUUCUCCCGGAUAACCUUUUUGUCUAAUAAGUACAAGGAGCUGGUGAUCCUCCUCAGGCAGGCAGGAUCCUGCCAGGGUUUAGAAAACAGCCAAGCUCUGGUACUUGGGUUUUCCUACUGUAAUAUUAUUAUAUAUACAUAUAUAAUUUUUCUUCUACAGUUAGAUAUGGUUUGGCUGUGCCCCUACCCAAAUCUCAUCUUGAAUUGUAGCUCCCACAAUUCCCAUGUGUUGUAGGAGGGACCUGGUAGGAGGUAACUGAACCAUGGGGGCAGGUCUUUCCUAUGCUGUUCUUGUGAUAGUGAAUAAGUCUCACGAGAUCUGAUCGUUUUAUAAAGAAGGAGUUUCCUGCACAAGUCCUCUCUUACCCACUGCCAUGUAAGAAGUCCCUUUGCUCUUCCUUCGUCUUCUGCCAUGAUUGUGAGGUCUUCCCAGCCAUGUGGAACUGUGAGUCCAUUAAACCUCUUUUUCUUUACAAAUUACCAGUCUCAGGUAUGUCUUCAUCAGCAGCAUGAGAACAGACUAAUACAGGUUCCUAGCUCACAACUACCAUAGCCCUUGUUACAGACUCUUGUUAUAAUGUUGAGAAGCUUUAGGACUCAAAAGCAGGCCUCAGAAAACAGAAUCUAUCUCUCUGAUCUCCUUCCCUCCUUUCACCAGCCCAAGGCAGGUCUCUAAUCCGAUUGUGGGUCAUAAGACACUCAUUCAGAAGGUGUCCUGCCUCAUACCCUGGAGGAGGAAAUGCUUCACAGAGAGGCCAAGAAGCUGAAUGGACAGGCCUUGCUGUGUUUCCCCACUCAGUCUAAUGGUAUUAGAUCAUACCCGCUUUGUCCAAUCACAUUUCUACAUGGUUAUCAAUCAUGGCUGUCCAAUGAAGUCUCCCUAUAACGCCCAAGAGGACAGAGUUCAAAGAACUUCCACAUAGCUGACCAUGUGAAGGCUGACAGAAAGAGGAACAAGUAUUCAUCUACAUGCCUGGAGGGUGGCACACCCCAGCCUCACAGGGAUAAAGUUCCUGCACUCAGGACCCUUCCAGACUUCACCCCAUAUAUCUCUUCAUACGGCUGUUUAUUUGUGUCUUUUAAAACAUCCUCUGUAAUACAGCAGUUAGAAUGUUUCCUUGAGUUCUGUGAGCCAUUCCAGCAAAUUAAACCCAAAGAAGGGGUCAUGGGAACCCCAGCUUGAAGCUGGUCAGUCAGAAGUUCUAGAGGCCCAGACUUGCGACUGCUGUCUAAAGAGGGAAGGCAGCUUUGUGGAACUGAGUUCUCAACCUAUGGAAUCUGAUGCAAUCUGCAGGUAGAUAGUGUCAGACUUAAAUUGGAGGGCACUCGCAUGGUGUCCACUGCAGAAGUGAUUGCUUGCUUGGUGUGUGGGGGAAGUUUCCCAUAUAUUUGGUCACAGAAGUCUUCUGUGUGGAUUGUUGUUGUGGAGUGAGGGAAUUAACAAAGCACUUUUAGGCCAGGUGCGGUGGCUCAUGCCUGUAAUCCCAACACUUUGGGAAGCUGAGGAGGGUAGACUGCUUCAGACCAGGUGUUCAAGACCAGCCUGGGCAACAUGGCAAAACCCUGUCUCCAGAAAAAAAAUACAAAAAUGAGCCAGGCAUGGUGGUAUGCAGCUAUAGACCCAGGUACUCAGGAAGUUGAGGUGGGAGGAAGGCUUGAGCCUGUGGGGUGGAGGCUACAGUGAGCCAUGAUUGCACCACUGCACUCCAGCCUGGGCAAAAGCAGAGUGAGACCAUCUCAACAAAAAAACAAAACAAAACAAAAAACCACUUAGAGUUUGAGUGUCUUGUUUCCCACAGACCUACUCUUCCUGAGGAACUCAGGAAUAAUCUGCAUGGGAUCACUUAAAGGAAUAUUUACAAAAAUUGGGCUCUCCCAUUUCUUGAAUCGAACUCAGUUUCAGUCCACAACCUCAUCCACAGACAGAAAGCAGGAUCAGUAUCCAAGAGUCUCUGAACAGUUAUCUCUUUGCCUACCUUUCCAGCAUCCCAGAAGGAUUUUCCCCCCAAUUCUACCCCUGAUUCUCAUUCAAUGCUCUCUUAUCUGGUUGGUGCUGAUAAAGAGUUUGGUCAGAGAAAUUUGAUUAGAAAUCCAAUUCUCUGUAAGAGUCAUCCAUCUGGCACUAAUGAAAACAUGUUUGGAAUGAAUUUCUUUUGAUCUGCAUUCACAGCCAGUUUAAGAGCCUCACCCCUGCACUCUAGCCUGGGUGUCAGAACAAGACUCUGUCUCAAAAAAAACAAAAAGAACCUCACCCAACCUUUCUACUUUGUGGCCUUGCCUCGUUUUUGACCCCAAACUAUUCUUUACAUUAUUAACUGAACUUUGUUUCAAGUCAUCUCUAGUGAAGGGCAAAGACUAUUAUUCCUUAAUUUUUUUUAAUGUACCAGAAUAGAUGGGAUAAUUCGAACUGCAGGUUCCAUGCCAGUCAUCUCACCUGUUGCUAGUUGAACUGUUUCAACUGGUCACCUUUCCCAUUCGGGAUUCUGCCUCUACUAGCUUUUCCCCAAGAGCUAAACAGGGCAUAAUAAAGAUGGCCUUAAGAGACAUCUUCAUUAUGUCCUUAAAGGACAUCUUUAUUUGUCCUUAAAGGUGAAUCAGAGAAAGGGAAACUUUAACACAUAAGCGGGCCAAACUUCUACCUGAUUGAAUUCUCCAACACAGAAGAAGGGAUGCUUAAGUUCAUGCUUCUUUAGCCCUGGAAUGCCCUCUUAAAUAAAUUCAAAAUUCUAUGCGUAAUAACAAGACACAUGGCUGAGACUUUUGUAUAGGAAUCUAUCCCAUGCUUAGCCUGCUGUUGCAACUUUGCACAGCACAGAACCCAUAAUUAGGUUGACCCUAAGGCUCAUGGAAAGGCUACUAAGGUGAGUUGGGUGGCUGUAGUUCCUAGGCAGGCUUUUUAAAGAAUGACUCUUUUGGUCAUAGUUCUGCCUGGGCUAAUCUGACCCCUCCAGCACUGUGCUUUCUCAGUCCCUCUCCCCACAGUGUUGCUUUCUCUCACUCGCACAAAGAACGCUGAAAUGCUUACCAAGAGAAGCCCAGGAAGGAGCUUGCCAGAUGUCAUUCAACUGCCAAUAAAGUGCCCCCAUCGUGUGCCCUUGCUGAUCCACUAUCUCGCUGCGACUACGGCGGUAGAAUUCAGUUUCUGUUUUGACACACUGGGCCUGCAUCACCUGAUUCAGGAAAACAUUCAUACACAGGUGUUAUUGUUUGAUGUAGACUGCCUAGAUCUGAGAAAAAUACAGGGUUUAGUUUUGUUUUGGGUUUUUUCUUUUUGGAGCAAUUUGGAUAAAAUUAGGGAAUUUAAUUAGUAUUAGGAAUACAUUAUACUAGAUCUGUAACUAGCCCCUUAGCAUGAGAGAAGCUGUUGUCUGUAACAGUGGGUUUGUCUGGUAGACUUGGUGUUUCAUUAUGGUGACAAUGGAAAUAGGAUGGUGUAAAAGGUUCUCUGCUAAUGAUAGUGUAGGCCGUAAAGAAAAACAAAGACUACUAUUCCAGAGCAAAUGCUAUAUAUAGUCCAAAACUAGAUUAUUUUCACUGAAAAAUUUUGCUAAUACCUUCAUAGCUAUUUUUAAGAAAAACUUUUACUAGAAAAAAUUCUAUAAGAAAAAUAACAUUGUUAUUAUGAGUCUGAUAUUAUCCAAUCCCUAAUUAUUUUUUCUAGUCAAACAAUUGUUUUGAUGUCAUGAUUUUUGGUAAUGUAAGAUUUCUCAUGAAUGCAAUUCCUUCGUUGUAGCAGAACAGAUGGCAAAUUGCAGCAAUGAGACAAAUGAAUUUAGUUCUUGUUUAAGAGACACUAAAGAACUUCACACAGGACCCUUGAUUACCGACACCAUCAUGGAAAAAUCAGUCUCUUUUAUCGCUGCCGUUACCGACACAUAUGAAUCACAUGCUCUUAGCCUGGAGUUGUGCUGAGGAGGGGCUCAUGAAUGGACCACUGAGGAGAACCCAGAGAUGGUCAGAGCAGCGAGGAUUUCAGAGAACAAGAAGGCCUUAGAAUAGGGCUGGGGUUUUCACAGAGGAAUAAAAAGAAUGGUGCAUAUGGCCACCAAAAGACUAAGUCGAGACGCUUUCCCAUAAAAGCAAAAAAGCUCAGAUAAAGGUAGAACCUUUAAAUAGAGGAAGGCUGACCAGUAAGGAAGUCAUAGAUGAGGUUAUGACUUACAUGAGUCACAGCCAUCAAAUUCCAGAACGGAAGCCAGAAGAAAUUGUGGUCAGUCAAUAAAUAUUUAAUAAGAACCUGCAGGAUAUGUUACAUACUGAGAAUGGUGGGCACCCCUGCCAGAAAAAAAUGAUACA